AGCAAGCUUGCUUGUUGGGGUUGUAGGACUCCAAUAUGGUAGUUCUUUCAGAUAGUCGAAUGACUUGGAAAAGUCAGUCAAAGAGGGUAAAAACCCCGUAGACGAAAUGUGGAAGACACCUAGGAGGAUCCUGAGUACGGCGGAACACGAGAAAUUCCGUCGGAAUCCGGGAGGACCAUCUCCCAAGGCUAAAUACUCCCUAGUGACCGAUAGUGAACCAGUACCGUGAGGGAAAGGUGAAAAGCACCCCGGAAGGGGAGUGAAAUAGAACCUGAAACCGUGUGCCUACAACAAGUCAAAGCCCGUUAAUGGGUGAUGGCGUGCCUUUUGUAGAAUGAACCGGCGAGUUACGAUUGCAUGCGAGGUUAAGUUGAAGAGACGGAGCCGCAGCGAAAGCGAGUCUGAAUAGGGCGUUUGAGUAUGUAGUCGUAGACCCGAAACCAUGUGAUCUACCCAUGUCCAGGUUGAAGGUGCGGUAAAACGCACUGGAGGACCGAACCCACGUACGUUGAAAAGUGCGGGGAUGAGGUGUGGGUAGCGGAGAAAUUCCAAACGAACUUGGAGAUAGCUGGUUCUCUCCGAAAUAGCUUUAGGGCUAGCCUCGGAAUUGAGAAUGAUGGAGGUAGAGCACUGUUUGGACUAGGGGCCCAUCUCGGGUUACCGAAUUCAGAUAAACUCCGAAUGCCAUUCAUUCAUAUCCGGGAGUCAGACUGUGAGUGAUAAGAUCCAUAGUCGAAAGGGAAACAGCCCAGACCACCAGCUAAGGUCCCAAAAUAUAUGUUAAGUGGAAAAGGAUGUGGGGUUGCACAGACAACUAGGAUGUUGGCUUAGAAGCAGCCACCAUUUAAAGAGUGCGUAAUAGCUCACUAGUCGAGUGACCCUGCGCCGAAAAUGUACCGGGGCUAAACAUAUUACCGAAGCUGUGGAGUACACCUUUAGGUGUAUUGGU
rnacentral:rRNA from 1 species